UAAUAAAAGAAAAUAAUGUUGUAUGGAUUAUUAUUUUGUUGGACGAUUAUUCAGAGAACGCUUAUCCGAGGGUUUGCUUGUUUUUUUUAACAAGACAAAAGACUUGCUAUUUCCAUUGACUAACAAAGAAUGUUUAGACAAAAUCCGUCUAGUAGGAAAACAAAGAUUACUCUUGUGACAUUAUACAAUACUCAAGUGUGUAGUCCCAGCCAAGGGAUGGAAUCUAUCCUCCUUGUUGAUCUUCGAGAUAAUCACCAUCGCCGGGGCACUGUGAUUGCGUAAGACUAACAUUCCGUUCUUUCCAAACGUGUCACCUAAUAAGCAUCAUCACGGGAGAGGUGGCGUGUGGGCAGUGGGUGCAGGGUGGCGCGACCAUGGCGGCCGUGGCCUGAGGGUCUCCGGCGGACAGCGGACCUGCAAAAGGUGUCGGUGCGGCCGUGAUCUCCGACAGGCAGCGGAUGUAGCAGACCUGCAAGAGGAGCUGGUGGCGCGCAACCGGUGAGGCCAUGAUCUUCGGCUUACAGCGGAUCUGGGCCGUGAGCCAGAUCUGGGCCCAAUCAGGACCCAUCCUGCGCGCGAGGUUGGUUGUGGCUUCGGCUACACCGGUCAUGUGUUGGGGAACUCCUAUUGGACGCAUUCUGCGUCAAACAGCUGCGCGACGCACGCACAGAACCCCGACAGGGCCGGCCCAAUAGUGGGCGUGCUUGCUUGUACAGUAGCGCGGCGAUAUUAAUGUGAAAAAAAAAAACCAAGCUUGCAAUUUCCAUUGACUAACAAAGAAUGUUUAGACAAAAUCCGUCUAGUAGGAAAACAAAGAUUACUCUUGUGACAUUAUACAAUACUCAAGUGUGUAGUCCCAGCCAAGGGAUGGAAUCUAUCCUCCUUGUUGAUCUUCGAGAUAAUCACCAUCGCCGGGGCACUGUGAUUGCGUAAGACUAACAUUCCGUUCUUUCCAAACGUGUCACCUAAUAAGCAUCAUCACGGGAGAGGUGGCGUGUGGGCAGUGGGUGCAGGGUGGCGCGACCAUGGCGGCCGUGGCCUGAGGGUCUCCGGCGGACAGCGGACCUGCAAAAGGUGUCGGUGCGGCCGUGAUCUCCGACAGGCAGCGGAUGUAGCAGACCUGCAAGAGGAGCUGGUGGCGCGCAACCGGUGAGGCCAUGAUCUUCGGCUUACAGCGGAUCUGGGCCGUGAGCCAGAUCUGGGCCCAAUCAGGACCCAUCCUGCGCGCGAGGUUGGUUGUGGCUUCGGCUACACCGGUCAUGUGUUGGGGAACUCCUAUUGGACGCAUUCUGCGUCAAACAGCUGCGCGACGCACGCACAGAACCCCGACAGGGCCGGCCCAAUAGUGGGCGCGCUUGCUUGUACAGUAGCGCGGCGAUAUUAAUGUGAAAAAAAAACCAAGCUUGCAAUGAUGCCAGGAUUCGAUCUCUGCACCUCCAUGUUGCGUACGAGAGGAGCUAACCAGUAGACGUAACAAGCCUUGUUGCUAAAUAUGAAGCGUGCUAGUAUAAGAACUAAUACCAAUGAAGAAUGUGGACAAUAUUUUUUGAAUUUUUCUAAACUUUCCUUCGAAAUUGUGAAUUUCUUUUAACAAACGGGAAGUGUACCAAAAUACGAUAAGAAAA
rnacentral:lncRNA from 1 species